GAAAUGUGGUGUUGAAACAGAACCCUGGACGGGAUACCUGACUGGACCCAGUCACAGAUGCCACAUAAACUUAAGAUUCUGCCAGACAGGUGCGGAGAUCUGCUCCUCUUGUCGCCACCAAGACAAGCCUCCUAAUUUGCUUUCUGCUGAAUGACAUGGUCAAGACGGAUGAUCUCCAGGGCAACAGAACCGUUUAUGAUUGGAGAUUCCAGCCCUGGCCAAAGCUUCGGGGGAGAAAGUGAGAGCACAAGCAAGUGGAGCAGCCGCAGGAGAAGCAGACUCCCUGCUGAGCAGGAAGCCGGACAUGGGACUCAAUUCCAGGACCCUGGGACCACGACCAGAGCGGAACCCACUGAGCCACCCAGGUGACCCUGUUCUGUGUAGUUGACAUACAAUAAUUUCAGGUGUUGAUGUUACUGUUUGUUCUCAUUUG